ensembl:snoRNA SNORD42 Small nucleolar RNA SNORD42
GUGCAUAUGAUGGAAAAAUCGUGAUCUCCUGAGAUUUAUGAAGUUUUCAAAGGAACCACUGAUGCAC